UCGAGAGUUUGAUCCUGGCUCAGAUUGAACGCUGGCGGAAUGCUUUACACAUGCAAGUCGAACGGUAGAGGGGGCAACCCCUCGAGAGUGGCGAACGGGUGAGUAAUAUAUCGGAACGUGCCCAGUCGUGGGGGAUAACGUAGUGAAAAUUACGCUAAUACCGCAUACGAUCUAAGGAUGAAAGCGGGGGAUCGCAAGACCUCGCGCGAUUGGAGCGGCCGAUAUCAGAUUAGGUAGUUGGUGAGGUAAAGGCUCACCAAGCCAACGAUCUGUAGCUGGUCUGAGAGGACGACCAGCCACACUGGAACUGAGACACGGUCCAGACUCCGUACGGGAGGCAGCAGUGGGGAAUUUUGGACAAUGGACGCAAGUCUGAUCCAGCCCAUUCCCGCGU
rnacentral:rRNA from 1 species